UUUUCGAACAACAUUAUAUUUUUUUCUUUUUUAUUUAAGUUUUAUUAUCAUAAUAGUGUUAUUAUUUGAUUAUCCAACAAAUAUAAUAUUUCAUUAUUAACUAAUCUUAAUUUUAGAACUCAGUGAAACAUUUUAUGACGUUGAAAUUACAUUGAAAAAUGAGGUUGACUUCAUAAUACCACUUAAACGGCAUAAAUUUAAUGUAUCUGCAAUCAGAACCCGCUAGUAAACC
rnacentral:misc_RNA from 1 species